rnacentral:rRNA from 1 species
AACGAACGCUGGCGGCAUGCCUAACACAUGCAAGUCGAACGAGAUCUUCGGGUCUAGUGGCGCACGGGUGCGUAACGCGUGGGAAUCUGCCCUUUGGUUCGGAAUAACAGUUGGAAACGACUGCUAAUACCGGAUGAUGACGAAAGUCCAAAGAUUUAUCGCCAGAGGAUGAGCCCGCGUAGGAUUAGCUAGUUGGUGUGGUAAAGGCGCACCAAGGCGACGAUCCUUAGCUGGUCUGAGAGGAUGAUCAGCCACACUGGGACUGAGACACGGCCCAGACUCCUACGGGAGGCAGCAGUGGGGAAUAUUGGACAAUGGGCGAAGGCCUGAUCCAGCAAGGCCGCGUGAGUGAUGAAGGCCUUAGGGUUGAAAAGCUCUUUUACCCGGGAUGAUAAUGACAGUACCGGGAGAAUAAGCUCCGGCUAACCCCGUGCCAGCCGCCGCCGUAA